rnacentral:rRNA from 1 species
AUUGAACGCUGGCGGCAGGCUUAACACAUGCAAGUCGAGCGGGGUGAUGGUGCUUGCACUAUCACUUAGCGGCGGACGGGUGAGUAAUGCUUAGGAAUCUGCCUAUUAGUGGGGGACAACAUCUCGAAAGGGAUGCUAAUACCGCAUACGUCCUACGGGAGAAAGCAGGGGAUCACUUGUGACCUUGCGCUAAUAGAUGAGCCUAAGUCGGAUUAGCUAGUUGGUGGGGUAAAGGCCUACCAAGGCGACGAUCUGUAGCGGGUCUGAGAGGAUGAUCCGCCACACUGGGACUGAGACACGGCCCAGACUCCUACGGGAGGCAGCAGUGGGGAGUACUGGACAAUGGGGGGAACCCUGAUCCAGCCAUGCCGCGUGUGUGAAGAAGGCCUUAUGGUUGUAAAGCACUUUAAGCGAGGAGGAGGCUCUUUUGGUUAAUACCCAAGAUGAGUGGACGUUACUCGCAGAAUAAGCACCGGCUAACUCUGUGCCAGCCGCCGCAUAA